rnacentral:rRNA from 1 species
UGGGGAAUAUUGGACAAUGGGGGCAACCCUGAUCCAGCCAUGCCGCGUGAGUGAUGAAGGCCUUCGGGUUGUAAAGCUCUUUUGGCGGGGACGAUGAUGACGGUACCCGCAGAAUAAGCCCCGGCUAACUUCGUGCCAGCAGCCGCGGUAAGACGAAGGGGGCUAGCGUUGUUCGGAAUUACUGGGCGUAAAGGGCGCGUAGGCGGUCUUGUUAGUCAGGCGUGAAAGCCCUGGGCUCAACCUGGGAUGUGCGCUUGAUACUGCGAGGCUUGAGUGCAGGAGAGGAUGGUGGAAUUCCCAGUGUAGAGGUGAAAUUCGUAGAUAUUGGGAAGAACACCGGUGGCGAAGGCGGCCAUCUGGACUGCAACUGACGCUUAGGCGCGAAAGCGUGGGGAGCAAAC